ACGCUCGACACCUACUGGAGGCAGCAGUGGGGAAUAUUGGACAAUGGAGGAAACUCUGAUCCAGUGACGCCGCGUGAAGGAAGAAGGUCUUCGGAUUGUAAACUUAUUUUGUCAGGGAAGAAAAAAUGACUGUACCUGAAGAAAAAGCACCGGCUAACUACGUGCCAACAGCCGCGGUAAGUCUGAGCGGGCGUGGCAAGGC
rnacentral:rRNA from 1 species